rnacentral:rRNA from 1 species
GACGAACGCUGGCGGCGUGCUUAACACAUGCAAGUCGAACGGAAAGGCCUAGCUUGCUAGGUACUCGAGUGGCGAACGGGUGAGUAACACGUGGGUGAUCUGCCCUCAACUUCGGGAUAAGCCUGGGAAACUGGGUCUAAUACUGGAUAGGACCAUUGGAUGCAUGUCUGGGGGUGGAAAGCCUUGUGCGGUUGGGGAUGGGCCCGCGGCCUAUCAGUUUGUUGGUUGGGUACUGGCUUCCCAAGGCGACGACGGGUAGCCGGCCUGAGAGGGUGACCGGUCACACUGGGACUGAGACACGGCCCAGACUCCUACGGGAGGCAGCAGUGGGGAAUAUUGCACAAUGGGCGCAAGCCUGAUGCAGCGACGCCGCGUGAGGGAUGACGGCCUUCGGGUUGUAAACCUCUUUCGCCAGGGACGAAGCGUGAGUGACGGUACCUGGAGAAGAAGCACCGGCCAACUACGUGCCAGCAGCCGCAGUAACAC